UACGAACUGUGCAAACGUUAUUCGGAAUCACUGGGCUUAAAGGGUGCGUAGGCGGACUUGAAGGUCUGAUGUGAAAUCCCACGGCUCAACCGUGGAAUUGCGUCGGAAACCAUGAGUCUUGAGGAGAUCAGAGGUAAGCGGAACUGAUGGUGGAGCGGUGAAAUGCGUUGAUAUCAUCAGGAACACCGGUGGCGAAAGCGGCUUGCUGGACGACAACUGACGCUGAGGCACGAAAGCGUGGGUAGCGAAAGGG
rnacentral:rRNA from 1 species